GAUGAAGAACGUAGCGAAAUGCGAUAAGUAAUGUGAAUUGCAGAAUUCAGUGAAUCAUCGAAUCUUUGAACGCACCUUGCGCCCUUUGGCCAUUCCGAAGGGCAUGCCUGUUUGAGUAUCAUGAACACCUCAACUCUUUAUGGUUUUCCAUGGUGAGCUUGGACUCUGGGGGUUUUGCUGGCUCACAGUCGGCUCCUCUAAAAUGAAUCAGCUUACCAGUGUUUGGUGGGUAUCAUGGGUGUGAUAACUAUCUACGCUUGUGGUUUUUCCACCAGGUAACCUUCAGCAGUGGAGGUUCGCUGGAGCUCAUAGAUGUCUCUCCUCAGUGAGGACAGCCCUUUGAAUGUUUGAUCUCAAAUCAGGUAGGACUACCCGCUGAACUUAAGCAUAUCAAUAAGCGGAGGA
rnacentral:misc_RNA from 1 species